rnacentral:rRNA from 1 species
UACGUAGGGUGCAAGCGUUGUCCGGAAUUAUUGGGCGUAAAGAGCUCGUAGGCGGUUCGUCGCGUCGGCUGUGAAAACUCGAGGCUCAACCUCGAGACGCCGGUGGAAACCAUCAGACUAGAGUCCGGAAGAGGAGAGUGGAAUUCCUGGUGUAGCGGUGAAAUGCGCAGAUAUCAGGAAGAACACCCGUGGCUAAGGCGGCUCUCUAGUACGGUACUGACGCUGAGACGCGAAAGCGUGGGGAGCGAACAGG